ensembl:lncRNA
GCAGGAUCUGAGUGAGGUUCUUAACACUCAGAGCCUCUUUCCCCUCCCUUGUCCUGGGGGCAGGGGUACAAUAUAAAGACAGGCACCCCUAGAUGUCAAGUUCACUGGGAAGGGCCAGAGGAGUGUCAGAGAUUGGGCCUGACCAGAGACUGAAGUGGGGACAAGAAAGAUUAGAGCUUGAAGAAGACAGGAGUCCUGGUGAGCAGGGGACAGGAGGGGAGGCGAAUGUCCGCCCACAGCCCUGAAGCCGAGAGUGAGCAGCCUUACCGCUGCCUGAUAAAUACAGCCGUUACCCAGGCCGUAAAUUAGAGUCAGGGUCCCAGAUUAGCCCUGGAAUUAAGUACUGUAAGAAUCUGAGGAGAAAAAAAAAUCACAUAAAAUUCAAUUUAAAGAUUAAACAGUUAUGCUUUCCGGUGAAGCCGGCCUCCUGAGAUGAUUAAAUCGCCCCGCAUUUGGGCAGGAGCUCUCACCUGAAGGUCUCAAGCUGGCAGCAAGUUACGCAGUGGGUUGAAACAGGGUGCCCCUGGUCCCUAAGGCUUCAGGUCCUUGGGGAAGGACCAGCUAUGCCUGCUUGUCCCCCACCCAUCAGUCAAGCCCCACUCCAAUCAUCCCCUGCUCUUGGGUCACAAAAGGAGAAACCAGGAGGAGAGGAGGGCUGCCAGGGAAGCCCAUCCCCAUCUUGGGGAGCUGAGAGUUUGCAGAUUGCCGACGUGACCAUGCACAGCACUGGGAGUAUACAGAUUGUGUCCAGGAUGGAAGCAUCCCUGGAAGAAAGGUACUGUGAUUAUACCCAUUUUGCAGAUGAGAAAACAAGGUCCAGAGAGGUGAACUGACUUGUCCAAAGUCACCCAGCAUUCUAACAUGGAAUAGAAGCAGAGCUGUCUCACCGCAAGGCC